GCUCUAAACAGGUGGGGCUCUAAACAGGUGGGGCUCUAAACAGGUGGGGCUCUAAACAGGUGGGGCUCUAAACAGGUGGGGCUCUAAACAGGUGGUGCUCUAAACAGGUGGGGCUCUAAACAGGUGGUGCUCUAAACAGGUGGUGCUAAGAACAGUUUGGGCUCAGAACAGGUGGGGGAUCAGCACAGGUGGGGCUCUAAACAGGUGGGGCUCUAAACAGGUGGGGCUCUAAACUGGUGGGGCUCUAAACAGGUGGGGCUCUGAACAGGUGGGGCUCUGAACAGGUGGGGCUCUGAACAGGUGGUGCUCUGAACAGGUGGGUUCUGAACAGGUGGGGCUCUGAACAGGUGGGGCUCUAAACAGGUGGG
ensembl:lncRNA